GUCCCUUUUAGUGAACAAGGAUGACCACUAGCGUACAUAAAACCCUGCCUUUUCCUAGUAAUUCAUUAGUGACCCAGAGUUUUUGAAGGUACCCUAUAUCUGAUUUGAGAGGAAAGCAGCCACAAGUAAAACAGUAACCGUAACAUGUGGAACAGUGCAUCUGAUGAAAUUGUAAGGUGAUAUUAAAUCUCAUAGGUUCCUGUUGCUACCAUACAGAGCUAGACAAUUUUUUCAACAACCUUUCAUAAUCUCUGUAAAUCAAAGUACCCAAAGACAUGUCGCUUGAAGGAAAGGGCUCUGACAGUGCCAUGAAAAGCAUUCAAAAUGUUGAGAACUCAAAGUUCACAGCCCCGGCACAGAGUAUACAGCAAGAUUGUGGUGAAGCAGCUAAGGUGUCAGGCUUUAGCUUUAAGUCCUACACCAAGCAGUUUGGAAGCUGGCUGACAAGUUUGACGGAAGGGGAGAGAAUUGAUGUCUCUACCAAAGAUUUGAACGCCAUUGCACCUGUGUCAUUUUGAUAUUUUUUCUUCACAAUUAUUUUCUUUUGUUACUUGUUGUACACUGUGAAUGUAAAUGGUAGUAGUGGACUUGUAGAUAUUUGAGAGUGGGUAUACAAGCUUAACAUAAAAUACUGGUAUUGAUGAGUUUACAAUCAUUUCUGAUUUCAUUUCUUUUUCAUUUUAAUGUUUCAUAUAAUACAAAUGUUUGCAAUGCAGCUAUUUCCUGAAAUUUCAUGUGUACAUUUUCUCAUGUUUAUUUACUAUGCGCAUUCUAAAAUGAACAAGUCCAACGCAGUAACUUUAUUCUGUGAGUGAUUCUAUGCCAUUUAAAACAAAACUAUUGUUUACUUUAUUCAGCAGAUCUUUCAUUUUUUUUAUAACUGUGGCCCCAUGUGUAUAUAAAAUGUUGCAAUGCAGAUGAGACCAGGUCAAAUUGAUGUGAUUUGUGCUGGUAUUUUUGCUAUUUAUUAAUUUAUUAAUAAUCAUUGUAAUUCUCCAUUCAUCAGUCAUACAGGUUCAGUUCCUCAGGACUUGUUUAGUUCAUCCAUCUUGUAUAAACCAAUGUUGAAUAUAAACUAGUGCUAAUCCAAUAAGUAAAGAAUAAAUAAAUGUUGACCCUUCUUAAAUGCUGAGAGGGGGAAAAUUUCAGGAAUGUUGUUGAAAUUGUAAACAUUGGAUUUGUGGUUUCAAGUUAAUGACUCAGAAACAUUUGAGAAAUUGUAAUUUAUGUGUGGUUUCAAGUUAACGACUCAGAAACGUUUAGUUCAAGAAAAUAACUUUGUUUUUUGGUUUCAAGUUAAUCAUGACUCAGAAACUUAACUUAGUUAUUUUUUUUCUUCAUUUUCUUUUAAAUGUACUUGUAAAUUUUUUCUUGGACAAUUUCCUUUCAGUUUAUGUUGUAAACAUGUUGCCCAUGGCAUGAAUAUUCUCACUGAAGAUCUGAAUUUCUAGUCGUAUUACACCUUUGUCCAUUUUUGAAAUAACAGAACAAAUUUAAAUAUUUUACUUUGUUGUCCUGAAAAUGCAAUUGCUGUACAAAUAGUAUAUUACUUGAAUAUAUAUUUAUAUACCGGUAACAAGGAUCUACAUCCUAUUAAUGAAUUUUUGUUCCACCUCCUCUGCAUUUAAUUUACAGUUGCCAUUCUCUAAUGUAAGAUUUCUCUGAAAGUGAAAUCUUGAUCUACUGGUAUUCUUGUACAUUUACUAAAAUCCAUUUAUAAUGAAAUUAUGGUAGUUUUUUAGUUUUGUUCUUUACUAAUGUUAAUUGAACUAUUUAAUGUGAAUAUCAUGCAAUAAAUAAUGCAACAACAAA